GUUUCCGUAGUGUAGUGGUUACCACGUUCGCCUAACACGCGAAAGGUCCCUGGUUCGAGCCCAGGCGGAAACA
rnacentral:tRNA from 1 species